UCCAGACUCCUACGGGAGGCAGCAGUGGGGAAUAUUGCACAAUGGGGGAAACCCUGAUGCAGCGACGCCGCGUGAGUGAAGAAGUAUUUCGGUAUGUAAAGCUCUAUCAGCAGGAACGAGACAAGACGGUACCUGACUAAGAAGCCCCGGCUAACUACGUGCCAGCAGCCGCGGUAAUACGUAGGGGGCAAGCGUUAUCCGGAAUCACUGGGCGUAAAGGGAGCGCAGACGGCAGGGCAAGUCUGAUGUGAAAGUCCGGGGCUCAACCCCGGGACUGCAUUGGAAACUGUCCGGCUAGAGUGCAGGAGAGGUAAGCGGAAUUCCUAGUGUAGCGGUGAAAUGCGUAGAUAUUAGGAGGAGCACCAGUGGCGAGGGCGGCUUACUGGACUGUAACUGACGUUGAGGCUCGAAAGCGUGGGGAGCACGCA
rnacentral:rRNA from 1 species